rnacentral:sRNA from 1 species
UCCAUUGGUGUCUGCUUGGUGAUCCUC